rnacentral:rRNA from 1 species
UACGUAGGGUGCAAGCGUUGUCCGGAUUUAUUGGGCGUAAAGAGCUCGUAGGCGGUCUGUCGCGUCGGAUGUGAAAACCCAGGGCUCAACCCUGGGCCUGCAUUCGAUACGGGCAGACUAGAGUGUGGCAGGGGAGACUGGAAUUCCUGGUGUAGCGGUGAAAUGCGCAGAUAUCAGGAGGAACACCGAUGGCGAAGGCAGGUCUCUGGGCAUUAACUGACGCUGAGGAGCGAAAGCAUGGGGAGCGAACAGG